AGAGAUAGAUCAAAAAGAGGAAAGAAGAGGGACUGGGAAGCUAGGGCGACUGAGGAUACGCCGAGGUCUAGUCCGGCUUGGCAGCGCGAACUAGAGAGCUUUGCGAGCCGCGGGGCUGGGAAGUCAGGGCAUAAGGGCCAGGCCUGCCCUCUGGUGCUUUCGGCUCCUCGGGCCCCCGACUUUAAAGUGCUCAAGUUGGGGUCGGCGCCAUCAUGACGCCUGAGACUGAGUAUGUGGAUUACUCUGUGAGCUCUCCGCUUCUGUUCCAGCACCACGCCAUGCUUCCCACUAAGAUGCUCAUGGACUCUGACCCUCAGAUGUUGAAACAGCCAUUUUGACACAAUCAUAAAACUGAAGUUCAGUGUUUGGAGGUCAGCACCCAUCAUCUUCAUUUUGAAAAUAUUGUGUUUUAGAUAUCCUGGAGAAACGGAGAAAACCUCAGAACUGAAAUGAAGUCUGUGAACUGUGGAGUCAGGAGAUCAUCAGAAAUGCAGCUCACAUCAGUCCUGUCAUGGCCUUGGAGCUACAUACCAGCCCUGUCACUUCUUCAGUCCCUGUAUUCAGAUAAGGAAUGUGAAAGAGAAAGAAAGCACAUGUGUUUCCUGAAAGUGUGAGGGCUUCCAUGCUAGAAAGAGCCAACAAAGAGCCUUUAAAGCAGUCCCUGUCACUUCUAGAACCUUUUAUGAUGGAACUUUGUGUCCAUGGAUGGAUGGGAGAAUGACAGAAAUAAAACCAAAGUUAAUUUU
rnacentral:lncRNA from 1 species